rnacentral:rRNA from 1 species
AUUGAACGCUGGCGGCAUGCUUUACACAUGCAAGUCGAACGGUAACAGGCCUUCGGGUGCUGUCGAGUGGCGGACGGGUGAGUAAUGCAUCGAAACGUACCCAGUGGCGGGGGGUAACGCAGCGAAUGCUGUAAUAAUACCUCAUGUCGUCUGAGAUUGACAGCGGGAGACCGCGCAGCAAUGUUUGGCCUUGCGCCUUUGUAUCGGCCGAUGCCGGAUUAGAUAGUUGGGGGGGUAAAGGCUCACCAAGGCGACGAUCCGUAGCCGGUCUGAGAGGAUGACCAGCCACACUGGAACUGAGACACGGCCCAGACUCCUACGGGAGGCAGCAGUGGGGAAUCUUGGACAAUGGGCGCAAGCCUGAUGCAGCAAUGCCGCGUGCGGGAAGAAGGCCUUCGGGUUGUAAACCGCUUUUGGCAGGGACGAAACGAUGUCCGCUAAUACCGGGCCAUAAUGACGGUACCUGCAGAAUAAGCACCGGCUAACUACGUG